AGCAGUAAUUAGAUAUGCUCCUUUCUGGAACUUCCGCUUAAAUGAUUAGGGAGCCCAAUGCAGAGCAGUGAAAGAUACCCCAAUACUGUGAUGACUUGAUCUUGUAAGGACUCAUCACUUCUCAGGGAUCAUCAAAACGCUGGCUCUUCUCUAUCAAAUGAAAUCCCUCCCCGACCUCAACUCAGUUACCCCCCUCAAACGAGAUGAUAAGAUCAAGGCACAGUUCCCAGCUACCACAACCACCUGUAACUCCACGACCAAGGUUCCAGUGCCCUUUUCUGAUCUGCACAAGCACCAGUAUGUAUUGUUUUAACUCUGCCCGGCCCUGCUUAUCUGACGAAAGUGGAAGUCGGUCGACAGUGGUUUCGACAGCACAGCGUUAAAGCCAGCAGCAGCCGCACACUGGGGAUUUUGUGGGGGCACUUCGGAGACGCUUCGGAGAGAGAGGCUGUUGGCAGGGCUGUUUCGAUGCUCGAGAUAGUUCCCCCCAAGAUAUGAACAGCGUCUUUGUCUAAACUCAAGAUAAAGAGAUGUGUCAGCUUCCUCAAACAGGAUAUUCGAAU